CCUCUCCCAGUCAGUCAGAUACCCUGUCAUUUGCUGCAGAGUAUGUGUCAAGUCCUGAGUCAGAAGACUGAAUGCUAACUAACAUGGCCUGGAUCCAAAAAUCUUCAAAGAUAGCCUCUACAAAAGCGUGAUGGGGACAGGCAUUGUAUCAGUUAGAAUCUGCAGAGCCAUUUUGUGGGGGCUGGCCCCAGACUGAGCUCGACUUUUUUUUUCACAGGUGAAGACUCUACUCCUUGGAGUUGCCUGUAUGAAAACACUGGCAAAAAAAAGGCUCCUUAACAUCCUGCUGAGAAAUAAAAGGCCAUUGGAAGCCCAUCUGAGGUCAGAAUGAACCAUAAGAGUCCUAAAGAAAAUAGGAAUGAAGAAAACAGCUUAGCAUAUAGACCACUUAACCAAGAAGAAGAGAGGAGCAUCACCAGCCCAACUCUGCCAAUGUCUGGUGUUGAUUGAAGACCCCAGCUCCAGUUCUUUGGUGGUUUGCGGUGACAGGGUGCCACUUUUUUCAGACCUAGCCUUUACUCGUAUGUUUACAGAGAAUCUGAGAAGAUUAAGAAAGUAGCCAGAAUAAUCUUCCUUGUAUUUUGGAUUUCAGUCCUUCUCUCACAGAACCCCUUAUAGGAUUUGUUUUCUUAUGGUUUGGUACUGGAAAGGAGUAUCUUUACAUGGUCUCAAGCUGGGAGCAUUCAUCCUCUUGGCAUGAUUAAACCUCAGUUGCCUGAAAACCCACUUCAUAAACGGUAGUGUGCAACAAAAUGGACCAAAUCAGUGGCCAUCUGUUCACCUCUUGGAUGUCUGCAGCCCAGCUGCUGUUUCAUGGAUGUGGUCAUUCUCAAAGUACUUCUAAUAGCUUCAGUCCCAAGCUUGUGUUUGAGUAAGAACAAACCUAACUUGAAAACGUGGUGGUGUGGUUAGGGACAUUUAAAGUUUUGGAAGCACCUCAUUUGCACUUAACUAUCUCUUUAGGGAAACUAAACUGUAUUCCAGAAAUGCUAUCAGAAAAAAUGGGCACAGGAGGUGAUAGGAAUGGAGAAGUCCUAAUGAAAUGGAAAUUUGAAUGAAUAUGGAAUUCUCCAACGGGCCUGAGCUACCUGAGUUAAUAACACAUGGCCAGAAAUGCUGCAAAAGCCGUGCUGUGACCACACAGCCAACCUGUCAUGCUCAUGUGCACACUGCAUGCCUGUAUUCUCUAAAUUGCAGAGGAGAAGACUGUCUCUUCAGGGUUCUAAGAAAACAUAUAGGGAAGUGAAGGUAGGAAGGCCAGGGCAUGGAUGCCCAGCAAAUGAAGGCAUGGCUCACUGUUCUGCAAGGAGAGCAAAGCCCCACACAAGCAGGCAGUGUUUUUGCAGCAUGGUAACUGGGUGCAAGCAACACUUUUCCACUUAAACAGCAUUCCCCUGCAAAGAAGCAGCAGCCGGGCAGUGACACCUCCAUCCUUCCAACAAGCAAUGAAUUGCAGAAAUGAGAUUUUAUCCUUAGCAAAUACAUCAGCCUGGAGUCUCCAUUGGACAGGAGCUCUUGUGCUGUGAAUUCAUGUAUGUAGUCUAGAUUUCGAUAAUACAGUGAUGCAGGAAAAUAAAACGCUCAUUAGCAUCAUCCUUAA